CAGACUACGGCACCGUAUCUUCCAAUCGUUUUCUCUUUUUCGACCGGUUCCUGUCCUUCUGGGUUUCAACCACCUCCAGAGAGUGCACACAAAUUCUCACGCACGCUUGUACAUUCACCUUAGGGCAGUAGCCCCGGUGGUAAUGAAUGAUAGGGGGUGGGUUAAAGAGAGGGUUUAACUGCCUCUUACUCUCCCUGCUCCCUGCUCAGACCUCACCUUAGCAACCCCCCUGGAGCCUGCAUUUUUAACCACCAUGAAGAUCGUGAUCCUAAUCCUCGCGUCAAUGCUCUUUGCAGGAUCCCAUCCUUUUGUUAUCAGAGAAGCUCCGGAGCCAGAUUCCAAGCUGGACGUAGUACUUGACGGAUGGCAGCUAUACCGGCGAGAUGUCCAGCAUUUGACAGACAAAAUACUGUUCGUGGUCUCAAGAUCGAACACUAGCGUCGCUUUUUUAGAUACGACAUUCAGAAUCACCCGCUACUUGAAUACCCUUCACGAGGAGAUACCCCCAGAGAUCAAAGAAUUACUUGAUGUGAUGGUUGGAGUACCAUUAAGUAUUAUGGACAAAGCAGUGACAGCUUUCUAUGACCUCAGGCGCAAGCAAGACAUGGCCGAGCCACUGAAAUCUGUCGUGUCAUAUUAUUCUGAUCCAAUCCUAGAGAGAGUGGGUCCAUGGUUAGAGUCCCUCCAACGUACCCUCAGGGCCCGGAUUCAAGAACUAGAACACAGGUUGGACAAGAUGAAGCCACAGUUCGAAACCCUGGAUACUCAGCUGUCCUUUUACCUCCAGAAGCUGGAAGACACUCAUGCGUCCCUCGAACCGGUCGCCAACGAAGUGCGGACACGCUUCAGGCAAAUGGUGGAGGCUCUCCACAAGAACCUGAAGCCUUACAUGAUGCCCAUUCUGGAGGAGAGCCGAAAAUAUGCAAGGGAGUUUAAGGAGUGGGUUCGCACCCCUGUAUUUCCCCCAAAUCCAUGAUUCCCCCCCCAAAAAAAAGUAACCAAGGAAUGGUGCAUCAUUGAUCUCUAUAGAAAAUCUGUGUGAAAAGUUCAUUAACAUAAUCUAGAUGGUGGGGAUUUGUAACCCUUCCUCCAGUGGAUGUAAUAAAAACCUCUCUUUUAGGUUGUGUUUCUCGUUC
rnacentral:lncRNA from 1 species